AGAGUUUGAUCAUGGCUCAGAGCGAACGCUGGCGGCAGGCCUAAUACAUGCAAGUCGAACGCCCCUUUCGGGGGGAGUGGCGGACGGGUGAGUAACGCGUGGGAAUAUGCCCUAUGGUGCGGAACAACUGAGGGAAACUUCAGCUAAUACCGCAUGUGCCCUACGGGGGAAAGAUUUAUCGCCAUAGGAGUAGCCCGCGUUGGAUUAGUUUGUUGGUGAGGUAAUGGCUCACCAAGACUACGAUCCAUAGCUGGUCUGAGAGGAUGAUCAGCCACACUGGGACUGAGACACGGCCCAGACUCCUACGGGAGGCAGCAGUAGGGAAUCUUGCGCAAUGGGCGAAAGCCUGACGCAGCCAUGCCGCGUGAAUGAUGAAGGUCUUAGGAUUGUAAAAUUCUUUCACCGGGGACGAUAAUGACGGUACCCGGAGAAGAAGCUCCGGCUAACUUCGUGCCAGCAGCCGCGGUAAUACGAAGGGGGCUAGCGUUGCUCGGAAUUAC
rnacentral:rRNA from 1 species